UCUCCGUAGGUGAACCUGCGGAGGGAUCAUUAACACGUUCCAAACCCCAAACUACUAUCAACCCAACUGUGAAGCUUUGUAUCUGCCGACGGUCGCCUCGAGCUCGACGGUGCGAGCUGAGAUCCAGGAUGAAGGUGAAAGGGUGGAGAGCGAUCUCUCCCUUUCAUACGGGUCGAGCUCGCUACAUGGUGGCCUUCCCUCUGUCUCUCUCUCUUGAGAGCUGCGGAUCUGCCAGCCGUCCUCGAGGAUGACUUGGCCCAACCUAUAUACGAACAGCAGCGAGUCAUCGGCUGCUGCGCGUAUAUCCACACGACACUCUUUUCUCUUCUUCUCUCUCUAUCUACAGGGUAGGGUGAGGGAUGUGAAAGAAUGACUCUAUACCCUUUUCGUGACCUCCACCUCUGUGUGGUGGUCUUCUCUCACUGACCUCUAUCUAUAUAUGUCAGUGCGAUAUGAAACUGAGUACAACUCUUAGCAAUGGAUAUCUUGGUUCUC
rnacentral:misc_RNA from 1 species